CUACGGGUUGCACCAGUGGGGAAUAUUGCACAAUGGGCGAAAGCCUGAUGCAGCAACGCCGCGUGAAUGAUGAAGGCCUUCGGGUCGUAAAGUUCUGUCCUAUGGGAAGAAAAAAAUGACGGUACCAUAGGAGGAAGCCCCGGCUAACUACGUGCCAGCAGCCGCGGUAAUACGUAGGGGGCAAGCGUUAUCCGGAAUCAUUGGGCGUAAAGGGUGCGUAGGCGGCUGAGCAAGCCAGAGGUAAAAGGCAAUAGCUUAACUAUUGUAAGCCUUUGGAACUGCUUAGCUUGAGUGCAGGAGAGGAAAGUGGAAUUCCUAGUGUAGCGGUGAAAUGCGUAGAUAUUAGGAGGAACACCAGUGGCGAAGGCGACUUUCUGGACUGUAACUGACGCUGAGGCACGAAAGCGUGGGGAGCGAACAGGAUUAGAUACCCGAGUAGUC
rnacentral:rRNA from 1 species